rnacentral:rRNA from 1 species
GACGAACGCUGGCGGCGUGCCUAACACAUGCAAGUCGAACGGGGAGUUACUUGUAACUCCUAGUGGCGAACGGGUGAGUAACGCGUAGGCAACCUACCUCUAAAAUGGGGACAACACCGCGAAAGUGGUGCUAAUACCGAAUGUGGUAUCUUGGUCGCAUGACUAAGAUAAGAAAGAUGGCCUCUACAUGUAAGCUAUCGUUUAGGGAUGGGUCUGCGUCUGAUUAGCUAGUUGGUGAGGUAAUGGCUCACCAAGGCAACGAUCAGUAGCCGGUCUGAGAGGAUGAACGGCCACACUGGGACUGCGCCCCGGCCCAGACUCCUACGGGAGGCAGCCGUGCCUCCUCUUCCGCAAUGGACGAAAGUCUGCCUCGUCCCCGCCGCGUGAGUGAAGAAGGUCUUCGGAUUGUACCCCUCUGUCUUUUGGGACGCACGUAUCCUCUGUAACUAAUCCAGGGUAAUGACGGUACCAAAGGAGGCAGCCACGGCUAACUACGUGCCAGCCGCCGCCGUAA